UUCAGGGGUAAACCUGCGAAACUCGAAUGAACGAACGGAGAGAUUCAUCGUCAUUCCGCGGCGUACCCGUUCGCGCCUUGAUGCAGGUCGUGCGGGUCGACGUUCGCGGACGGCGUGCACUUCUCUCUUAGUAUACAUCGCGACCCGUUCUCGGUCUAAGCGUCGUUCGGGAGCCUAGCGGCAGGACGGUAUAUUGGGAACCGCGCACGCGUUUCGACGCGUCAGGCCCGACGCAAGUGGUGUCAUCCUGCCUAUGUGCGGACGACGACGUGGCGCCGCUGUUGUCGCAGCCGUAGUCUCUGACUGUGCGCGUGUCCGUCUGCGAUGUUUCAGUUUCGGGCACUCGCAGGACCCGUCUUGAAACACGGACCAAGGAGUCUAGCAUGUGUGCGAGUCAUUGAGUUAAAACUGAAAGGCGCAACGAAAGUGAAGGCGUGCGCCGCGCGCUCAGGGAGGAUGGAGGGUCGACCUCUCGCACUCCCGAGGCGUCUCGUUUCCAAUCUGUGAAUGUAGGCGCGCUCUGAGCACAGAUGCUGGGACCCGAAAGAUGGUGAACUAUGCCUGGUCAGGUCGAAGUCAGGGGAAACCCUGAUGGAGGACCGUAGCGAUUCUGACGUGCAAAUCGAUCGUCGGAACUGGGUAUAGGGGCGAAAGACUAAUCGAACC
rnacentral:rRNA from 1 species